rnacentral:rRNA from 1 species
GACGAACGCUGGCGGCGUGCUUAACACAUGCAAGUCGAACGAUGAGGCCCUACUUUUCUCCUCUGCUUUAGUGGCGAACGGGUGAGUAACACGUGAGUAACCUGCCCUUGACUCCGGUAUAACUACUGUAAACUGUAGCUAAUACCGGAUAUGCGCUCCACAUGCAUCUUUAUCGUUGGAAAAGUUUUUCGGUCAGGGAUGAGCUCGCGGCUUAUCAGCUUGUUGGUGGGGUAGCGGCUCACCAAGGCUACGACGGGUAGCCGGCCUGAGAGGGUGACCGGCCACAUUGGGACUGAGACACGGCCCAGACUCCUACGGGAGGCAGCAGUGGGGAAUAUUGCACAAUGGGCGGAAGCCUGAUGCAGCAACGCCGCGUGAGGGAUGACGGCCUUCGGGUUGUAAACCGCUUUUAGCAGGGAAGAAGCGUAAGUGACGGUACCUGCAGAAAAAGCACCGGCUAACUACGUG